rnacentral:rRNA from 1 species
ACUCAGAUCACGUAAAAUUUUAAAGGUCGAACAGACCUAAUAUUAAAGCUUCUACACCAAAUAUUAAUUUUAAUCCAACAUCGAGGUCGCAAAAUUUUUUAUCAAUAAGAACUUUCAAAAAAAAUUACGCUGUUAUCCCUAAGGUAACUUAAUCUUAUAAUCUAAAUAAAGGAUCAAAUAAACGCAAAUUAGCACUUAUAAGAAACAUAAAGUUUACAAAAUUUAUACAUCACCCCAACAAAAUUGAAAAAUUACAAAAACAAAACAUUAAAUAAUAGUAACAAAUCAAUAAAGCUCUAUAGGGUCUUCUCGUCUAUGUUAAAAAUUUAAGCUUUUUGACUCAAAAAUAAAAUUCUAAAAUAAUAAAUAAAAGACAGUAAAUUUUUCAUCAAACCUUUCAUUCCAGCUUCCAAUUAAGAAACUAAUGAUUAUGCUACCUUUGCACAGUCAAGAUACUGCGGCCAUUUAAAUAAUCAUUGGGCAGGCCAGAC